GACCUGGCUCAGGAUGAACGCUAGCGACAGGCUUAACACAUGCAAGUCGAGGGGCAGCAUGAUUUGUAGCAAUACAGAUUGAUGGCGACCGGCGCACGGGUGAGUAACGCGUAUGCAACUUACCUAUCAGAGGGGGAUAGCCCGGCGAAAGUCGGAUUAAUACCCCAUAAAACAGGGGUCCCGCAUGGGAAUAUUUGUUAAAGAUUCAUCGCUGAUAGAUAGGCAUGCGUUCCA
rnacentral:rRNA from 1 species